rnacentral:tRNA from 1 species
AAGAGGGAGUUCAACCAGCAGGGACUGCUAACUCCUGCAUCUGAGUCUAAAACCUCAGCCCUCUUA